UGUGUGUCUGAAGCUUUUUCAACCUUUCAAAGAUCAGUCGUUUGAUAUGCAAAAAAUAAGGGACUAUGUGUAGGACUCGAUCGCAUUUUCAACGUCGGACUACGAAAUUACUCGCUUGUUUAUCAUCGAUAUUAUUUAAAAAUGCAUCGUAACUUUUUGUAUACUUAGAAAGUAGUUUAAAAUGUUUUAGUGGUGUGGAAAAAGUCGUGAUUUUGUAGCAACAGCUGAAGAUGGUUGAGCCAUGAUUGAUUCAUUCAUGAUUCAAAAUAAUGAGCAACAAUCGUGUUAUUUUUCUUCUUGGUGUUAUAGCUUCAACAGUUACCGUAGCAGCCCUGUUCCAACCAUAAUUGAGCAGUCAUUGGCCCGAUGUCGACCGAUACGAAGUAACAUGCUACAAAAGUGCUGGAAUCUACCUCCGCCUUGCCCCCCGCAAGCAGUACUGUCUAUAGUUGAACUAUAAUUGUAUGUAAUUUUUUUUGUACUGAGCGAAACGGCAUUACUGUAGAGAUUGCUUUUUCUCUUUCUUUCUAAACUGUCAUUCAAAACAUAACAGAGAAUGACUCGAGAACUGAAUUUUAAACAAAUCCAACAACACGGAGACAAAAUACAGGCGAAUUUGUGAUGAACACAGCUAGUCUUUGUUGAUAUAUCGCCUCAAAGAAAGGAAAGCAGCAGCAACAGCAGAAAUGUAUAAAUGAAAAUGAAAAAAUAGCUGCAUGUAAUGAAAACGGAGUUUGCAGCUUCGAUAAAGUAUUGUUUUUGGGAUCAGACCAAAGACUUCAUCUCACCAUUCAUCAACAACAACUUCAACACGAACGUAACCAAGUUGAAUACCCAAAAAAACUCAUCCAUCGCAACAGUCAUGAUUGCCCACGAAGUUAGGUGUGUUUGCUAGAGGGAACGAAAGCGACAAAAAUAAUUGAGCCGACUGCGAUUCCGAUGAAGAAAUUUGUAGUUGUCGGGAGUUUACUGAUGACGGUAUAAUCGCUGCGAAUAGUAUACGCUAAUUUAUUAUAAAUAAAUAUUCGUAAACA